CCUACGGGAGGCAGCAGUGGGGAAUAUUGCACAAUGGGCGCAAGCCUGAUGCAGCCAUGCCGCGUGUAUGAAGAAGGCCUUCGGGUUGUAAAGUACUUUCAGCAGUGAGGAAGGUAGUAGUGUUAAUAGCACUAUUAUUUGACGUUAGCUGCAGAAGAAGCACCGGCUAACUCCGUGCCAGCAGCCGCGGUAAU
rnacentral:rRNA from 1 species